AAAGGGGCUUCGGCUCCGAGUAAAGUGGCGCACGGGUGAGUAACACGUGGGUAACCUGCCUCUAAGAUUGGGAUAACUCGUCGAAAGAUGAGCUAAUACCGAAUAAGACCACAGUUCCUGCGGGAACAGGGGUCAAAGGUAGCCUCUGCUUGCAAGCUAUCACUUAGAGAUGGGCCUGCGCACCAUUAGCUAGUUGGUAGGGUAACGGCCUACCAAGGCAAAGAUGGUUAGCUGGUCUGAGAGGAUGAUCAGCCACACUGGAACUGAGACACGGUCCAGACUCCUACGGGAGGCAGCAGUGGGGAAUAUUGCGCAAUGGGCGAAAGCUUGACGCAGCAACGCCGCGUGAGUGAUGAAGGCCUUCGGG
rnacentral:rRNA from 1 species